GAUGAACGCUGGCGGCGUGCCUAACACAUGCAAGUCGAGCGAACGGACGAGAAGCUUUCUCCUCUGAUGUUAGCGGCGGACGGGUGAGUAACACGUGUAUAACCUACCUAUAAGACUGGGAUCACUUCGGGAAACCGGAGCUCAUACCGGAUAAUAUUUUGAACCGCAGGGUUCAAAAGUGAAAGCCGGUCUUGCUGUCACUGAUAGAUGGAUCCGCGCUGCAUUAGCUAGUUGGUAAGGUAACGGCUUACCAAGGCAACGAUGCAUAGCCGACCUGAGAGGGUGAUCGGCCACACUGGAACUGAGACACGGUCCAGACUCCUACGGGAGGCAGCAGUAGGGAAUCUUCCGCAAUGGGCGAAAGCCUGACGGAGCCACGCCGCGUGAGUGAUGAAGGUCUUCGGAUCGUAAAACUCUGUUAUUCGGGACGAACAUAUGUGUAAGUAACUGUGCACGUCUUGACGGUACCUAAUCAGAAAGCCACGGCUAACUACGUG
rnacentral:rRNA from 1 species